rnacentral:lncRNA from 13 species
CCAUUUCUCAAUGCCUCCAUUGUAACAUCCUGGCUCAAGCCAUCAUCACCUCUCCACUGUCCUCAUACAAGAGCUUUUUUUUUUUUUUUUUUUUUUUUUUUUAUUGAGACGGAGUCUUGCUCUGUCACCCAGGCUGGAGUGCGGUGGCAAGAUCUUGGCUCACUGCAACCUCUGCUUCCCAGGUUCAAGCGAUUCUCCUGCCUCAGCCUCCUGGGUAGCUGGGAUUACAGGCGUGCGCCACCAAACCAAGGUAACAUUCUAGGAAAUUCCAGACCUGAGCACAAAACAGAGACAAAUAUAUCAUCUGCAUUCUCAAUACAAAGGCUUUGGGAGAGCCAAAAUCAUGAUGUUUGCUGGAAACACUGCCUAUUGUCUCUUGAAGCCAAAAGAAAAAGGCAAUCCUUCAUCAUCUGUUUCCUAGGUAAUUCUACUGCUUUUCCUCAUUGGAUCUUCCUUGCAAGACUCUUUCGAUGCAGGCAUGGCACGCAAUAUUCUUCGAAAAGGAAGGAAUGGAAGAUCAGAGAUAGCAAAUCACAAAGAACCCAAGAGAUGGGAUUGGGGCAAGAAUCCACGUACUCUGGUCCCUGGUUCAAGACUCAAUCACUAUGUCACAUCAUCCUUCCCCUCCAAAGAAACAUAUUUCUGUCAGCCCUGAACUAA